GUGCUCACUCUGGCAGCACAUAUACUAUGAUUGGAACUAUACAGGGAAGAUUAGCGCAGCCCUGCACAAAGAUGACAUGCAAAUUCAUGGAGUAUUAUGUAUUUUU
ensembl:snRNA U6 U6 spliceosomal RNA